UACGUAGGGUGCGAGCGUUGUCCGGAAUUAUUGGGCGUAAAGGGCUCGUAGGCGGUCUGUCACGUCGGGAGUGAAAACUCGGGGCUCAACCCCGAGCCUGCUUCCGAUACGGGCAGACUAGAGGUAUGCAGGGGAGAAUGGAAUUCCUGGUGUAGCGGUGAAAUGCGCAGAUAUCAGGAGGAACACCGGUGGCGAAGGCGGUUCUCUGGGCCGAUACUGACGCUGAGGAGCGAAAGCGUGGGGAGCGAACAGG
rnacentral:rRNA from 1 species